UCAGGACGAACGCUGGCGGCGUGCCUAAUACAUGCAAGUCGAGCGGACAGAAGGGAGCUUGCUCCCGGAUGUUAGCGGCGGACGGGUGAGUAACACGUGGGUAACCUGCCUGUAAGACUGGGAUAACUCCGGGAAACCGGAGCUAAUACCGGAUAGUUCCUUGAACCGCAUGGUUCAAGGAUGAAAGACGGUUUCGGCUGUCACUUACAGAUGGACCCGCGGCGCAUUAGCUAGUUGGUGAGGUAACGGCUCACCAAGGCGACGAUGCGUAGCCGACCUGAGAGGGUGAUCGGCCACACUGGGACUGAGACACGGCCCAGACUCCUACGGGAGGCAGCAGUAGGGAAUCUUCCGCAAUGGACGAAAGUCUGACGGAGCAACGCCGCGUGAGUGAUGAAGGUUUUCGGAUCGUAAAGCUCUGUUGUUAGGGAAGAACAAGUGCAAGAGUAACUGCUUGCACCUGACGGUA
rnacentral:rRNA from 2 species